GAUGAACGCUGGCGGCGUGCCUAAUACAUGCAAGUCGAACGAGGUGCUUUUGUAGUAAUACGAGAGUAUCCUAGUGGCGAACGGGUGAGUAACGCGUUGGUGACCUACCCCAAAGUGUGGAAUAACAGUCCGAAAGGAUUGCUAAUACCGCAUGUGGUUAUCGGAUUUAGAAACUGGUAACUAAAGGAGCAAUUCGCUUUGGGAGGGACCUGCGUCCCAUCAGCUAGUUGGUGAGGUAAUGGCUCACCAAGGCUACGACGGGUAGGGGACCUGAGAGGGUGACCCCCCACAAUGGAACUGAAACACGGUCCAUACACCUACGGGUGGCAGCAGUAGGGAAUAUUGCACAAUGGGCGAAAGCCUGAUGCAGCAACGCCGCGUGUGCGAUGAAGGCCUUCGGGUCGUAAAGCACUUUUCUGGGAGAUGAGAAAGGACAGUAUCUCAGGAAUAAGUCUCGGCUAACUACGUGCCAGCAGCCGCGGUAACACGUAGGAGGCGAGCGUUAUCCGGAUUCACUGGGCGUAAAGCGCGUGCGGGCGGUUUGGUAAGUUGGGCGUGAAAGCUCCCGGCUCAACUGGGAGAGGUCGUCCAAGACUACCA
rnacentral:rRNA from 1 species